CCCAUCCUCUGCCCUCUCUCUCUCUCUCGAAGCCCCGUAACCCAGAGAUAGAACCAAACUAACUAUCAUCGAAGGUUCCUUUUCUUCGAUUUCCGUCGACGAAGCCGACGAUGACAGCAGAUACUCUUCCGUACCCCAACGGAGUCAUCUUCAACGGGGAUCUGAACCCUAACCCUACCGCCGGGAAAAAAUCGCGGGAGAGCGAACGGCGUCGUCGAAGGCGGAAGCAGAAGAAGAACCAGAAGGCCUCGCAGGCGGCGGAAGCCGCUUCCUCCGCCGCCGAUGACAGCGGGGACGAGGAAAACACCGCCGCUGCCGCCAAGGAGGGCGCUGAUCCGCAGCAGGUGGUAGAACAAGUUGAAAUCGAAUAUGUUCCUGAGAAAGCAGAUCUAGAAGGUGCUUUGGCCGUGGAAUUUAGUAAGGUUCUGGAGAAAUUCAGUUCCCUUGAAACUAUUGGCUCUGAGGAGAUUGAUAAAAAAGGUGAGACUGAUGCAAAUGCAGCAUCCAAUAAAAAGACCGAUUCGGAUUCAGAUGAGGAAGAACAAGACAUCCAAACUAAAGAGAGAAGCGUCUCAAAUAAGAAGAAAAAGCUCCAACGACGGAUGAAGAUUGCUGAACUCAAACAGAUUUGCGCUAGACCUGAUGUAGUUGAGGUCUGGGAUGCAACUGCGGCAGACCCUAAGUUAUUGGUUUUUUUGAAAUCAUAUCGGAACACUGUCCCUGUGCCAAGGCAUUGGUGCCAGAAAAGGAAGUUUUUGCAGGGAAAGCGUGGUAUUGAAAAACAGCCAUUUCAGCUUCCUGAUUUCAUUGCUGCUACAGGAAUUGAGAAAAUUAGACAGGCUUACAUUGAAAAGGAGGACAGUAAAAAGUUGAAGCAGAAGCAACGUGAGCGCAUGCAGCCUAAGAUGGGAAAAAUGGACAUAGAUUAUCAGGUUCUCCAUGAUGCAUUCUUCAAAUACCAAACAAAGCCAAAAUUGACAACUCAUGGUGAUUUGUAUCAUGAAGGGAAAGAGUUUGAGGUAAAGCUGAGGGAGAUGAAGCCAGGAAUGCUAUCUCAGGAGCUAAAGGAAGCUCUUGGUAUGCCAGAGGGUGCGCCUCCCCCAUGGCUUAUUAAUAUGCAGAGAUAUGGCCCUCCACCGUCAUAUCCACAUCUGAAAAUUCCUGGGCUGAAUGCUCCCAUUCCACCUGGGGCUAGCUUUGGUUAUCAUCCUGGUGGCUGGGGCAAACCCCCUGUUGAUGAAUAUGGGCGCCCUUUGUAUGGAGAUGUUUUUGGUCUUCAACAACAAGACCAGCCCAACUAUGAGGAAGAGCCAGUUGAUAAGACUAAACAUUGGGGUGAUCUAGAGGAAGAAGAGGAGGAAGAAGAGGAAGAAGAGGAGGAAGAGAUUGAGGAAGAGGAAUUAGAGGCUGGUAUUCAAUCUGUGGAUAGCCUUUCAAGUACUCCAACUGGUGUGGAGACCCCUGAUGUUAUUGACCUUCGUAAGCAACAGAGAAAGGAGCCUGAGAAACCUCUUUACCAAGUACUUGAAGAAAAAGAAGAAACAAUUGCUCCGGGGGCAUUAUUUGGAACAAACCGCACCUAUGUGGUCAGCAGUGGCACCCAAGACAAGACAGCAGCCAAGCGGGUUGAUUUGCUUAAAGGUCAGAAAUCAGAUAAAGUGGAUGUCACACUGCAACCAGAAGAACUGGAAGUUCUGGACAAUGUUUUGGCAGCCAAGUAUGAGGAAGCAAGGGAGGAGGAGAAGAUGCGGAGCCAGAGGGAAGAUUUCAGUGACAUGGUUGCAGAGAAUGAGAAGAAGAGGAAGCGCAAGAUGCAGGAAAAGGAGGGGAAAUCAAAGAAGAGGGAUUUCAAAUUUUAAGGCGUGGUUUUUGGAAGCCGCCCGCCUUUCUUGUAGAUCUGAGGAAAUUCUCACCAACUUGUGCUGCAAAUGUAGUUAUAGUGGUAGUUUUCUGAACUGUACCACCCAACCAAACCUCUGUGCUGUAUGAUCUCUCUAAGUAGUUUCUUAAGAUCUCUCUAAAUAGCCGUUUCUUAAGACUCUUAUUUCAUUCAGUGGAUUACACAGUUUCGACAAGGGAGAGAGGCCUUUGUACUUCUGUUGUGUUAAUGGUCUUUUCUCAGGUUUUGGGCUUACAGAUUACAAUCACGAAGAAAAGUAUGUAACAGCUCAGAGGGGGACUAAGAGUCACUCUUGUAGAAAGUAGUGCACAAAAUAUAAGAGCAGCAUUAUAUUUUUUUCUCGUUAUAUUGACAGCAGGAUUUAUCUGAUAAGCUUUGAGUUUCUCGCGGUUUA